CAUGGGCUGACUCCAAAGCUUGUCUCUCAGCCGGGAUCUAUCCCCUCAACGUACAGUAUUUUCUUGACACCAAACAGUUCUACUUUGCUUUUACAAAGGGCUUUGGCAGCAUCUUGGGAUGUUUAAGAAUGAGCACAAAAACUCUACGUAGUUGCGAAUAAAAAAAAAUGCAAUAGGUGAUUAUGUAAAUAGUAAAACGUGACUAUAUUGUCUGAAGUGAAUUGAAUACAUUGACUCAUAUUACAGUAAAAGUGUAAAUAAUUUAGUAUUUGGCCACUUACUUAUUUAUUCAUUAAUGUCAAACUGCAGAUAAUUUAGCCCAAAUAAAACCCCAAGAGUUUGUCCAUGGGUCCAUGGUAGAAAAUCAGAGAUGAAAGUCCUCCGGAUUUUUCAAAUUGUCCUCAAAAUUGUCGAAAAAUGUGUCUAGUAUUAGUUGACAACAUUGAAUGAACACGCGUUUGAGUUUGUUGUUUUGUUUGUAGCGACACCAUUCCAGCGAAGCGCACCACAGCACUCGGUUGGUCUCUGAUGUACAUGCGUCAGUGCGAACAUGUACGCAUGCGAGCGUCGUUUUGAUUUCAACCAAAAUCAGCGCCGACGUGAGAUAUCAAAGAAGCUACGACAACAGCAAACGCAAGCAAUGGUAACGCCACUCCCCUACCUUGGACCUUCGAAAUUUCGGCGACAGUGGAAGCCUCAAAGUACUGAUAAUUCAUUGAAUAUUGAGUAGUUGAGCACUAUAUAUGAAGUUAUUCGUGUGUAAUGUUCAAGCAGGUAGACAGACAAGCAGACUUGCGCGCGAUAGACCCGAGUGUGAGGAACACGUUCAAGUGGUCAUGGCUCGAAGAAAGGGACUUGAACGGAGAUUUUUUUGCUGACUACAUUCGGAAGGUCGACAAACCCACGGAAUGCUCCCUCAAAAGUGACUGUUCAUCAAUUGGCUAAGAAGACGAAGAAGACUAUAAUGAAGCAUUAACAGGAGUGGAAAAGGAAACGAGCCGAGUCUGUCUGCAGUGGAUCUUCAAAGAAAAAUGCAAAAAAAUCAAAACAUGUUUAAAACACAGUACUGAAAGAAGUGAUUUAUUAGAUAUUAGUUUCCAUUAUUAUCAGGAGUAAGAAAUAAAAAGUGGAAAUUC